ensembl:lncRNA
AGCUGCUGAAGCUGCAGAAACGCGCUGGCGCCCGUCCACCCGCUGCAAACAAAACCAAACAAAACGCGGCGAAAGGAAAAGCGAAAUGGCGCUGCUGAAAAUGGAGCCUCGGCCUCGAGGACGUCUUUCUCUUCUCCUCCGUCUCUUACUUCGGCAACUCUGUUUCUCGUCCUUUAACGCCCCACCGCCCCUCGGCUUUUCUCCCCGUAACCGCUACCCCGUCACCCCCUUGCUUUUCUUCUUAACCAUCUCCUUCCCCCGCUUUUCCUUCUUUUCUUUCCCCUCUCGGUUCCUCCUUCUCCAUUUUGUGUCACAGGCGCUUCUCUUCCCAGUUCCCUUUCUGGGCUCGCGCUCCCCCGCCCGUCUCACUUAAUGUUUUCUGCGUGUCGGGGAGCGGGAGUGGUGGGGAUGGUGAGGCUAGGUAGCGAACUGGUUUGGUGGAGACAGGUUGUUGUUGUUUUUUUUUUUUUUAAGAAGUCAGACAGCUCCUUUAAUUAGUCGUGCGCUAGCCCUGCGCCCUGGUCCCCCGCGGCUUUGCGCCGUGACUCGCGCGGCGCCGUCCCACCAGCCGGGCGUCACAGACCUGGAGGAGACUCAGGGCUUGCGCAGAGAUGUCAGAGCCUAACCACUCAGAAUGGCAGAAAGGACAUAUCUGGGGAGAUGCAAGCCUGUCUGCUGGACUGCAGGGUAAGACUGGGGAAGAGGUCAAGGCAUGAUGAAAGAGAUGGGGUUGGAGAGGUAAGUACCAGUUCACUGCACCCUUAGUGUUUCUGUACCAAUGCUCAAGACCAAGAGAAAUACCUAACAGUUCCAUUCAUUAAGUUGCCAGUUCCAAAUGCCAUAAUAGUAAUUUGUGCAGUGUCUGAUAGAUGUUGCUGCAUUUUCCUAAAAAAAAAUUAAAUAGUCUACAGCAAAUCUUAGGUCACUGUGUGGUGCCCAAGGGUGACUUGAUGCACAGUGUGGGAACCAUGCUAUAGGUUAUUCAAGCUUUUUCAUCUAGUAAAUUAAAUACUCAACUUUGUAUUUUAGAAAGACUACUCUUCCAGUGAACUGGAGGCUUGGAUGGAAUUAAGAUAUGAUGGGAGGUAGGGAAAUUAUGAGUUAAUGGCAGCUAUUUAGGGAAGAAGGGAUGAGGAUGUAACAUGCAGC